rnacentral:rRNA from 1 species
UACGAAGGGUGCAAGCGUUACUCGGAAUUACUGGGCGUAAAGCGUGCGUAGGUGGUUUGUUAAGUCUGUUGUGAAAGCCCCGGGCUCAACCUGGGAAUGGCAAUGGAUACUGGCAGGCUAGAGUGCGGUAGAGGGUAGUGGAAUUCCCGGUGUAGCGGUGAAAUGCGUAGAGAUGUGGAGGAACACCAGUGGCGAAGGCGGCUAUCUGGACGGUUUCUGACACUAAGACUCGAAAGCGUGGGGAGCAAACAGG